rnacentral:rRNA from 1 species
CGUAUGGUGAGGGAAUUCGGCAAAUUAGUCCUGUAGCUUAGGUAUAAGGGAUGCCUGCACACUUCAUGAGGAAUGGGGUGAGCAGGUUGCAAUGACAAGGGGGUUUCGACUGUUUAAUAAAAACACAGGCGACUGCUAGUCCGAAAGGAUUUGUAUAGUCGCUGAAUCCUGGCCGGUGCGGGUACCUAAAACUUGGGUUCAACCGAGCUAAGGGCCCGUUAACGCCGGGAGUAACUCUGACUCUCUUAAGGUAGCCAAAUGCCUUGUCGGGUAAGUUCCGACGCGCAUGAAUGGAACAACGAGAGCCCCACUGUCCCCGCCUACAACCCGGUGAAGCCACAUAAGGUGGACGAACAGUCCAUCGCCUUCCAUUGGGGAGAGAAGACCCCGUGGAGUUUUACUGCAGCUUGUGCUUGUGGUAUAGUAAGAAUUGCACAGGGUAUCUGGGAGCUAUGCUCAACAUUCCCCGGGAUGUUGAUGAAGCAACGAUGUAACACCAGACUCUUUUUGCAGUACCACUUAUCCAGUGAAGACCGGAGACACGUGCAGGUGGGCAGUUCGGCUGGGGCGGCACCCCUUUGAAAAGAUAUCAAAGGGGCCCAAAGUUGAGUUCAAACGGGGCAGAAAUCCGUUGAAGAGGGCAAAGCCAAAAACUCGACUGAAUGGAUUUCCAAACGCACGGAAUUCAUAGACGAAAGUCUGGCUUAGCGAUCCUUCGUGUGCCCACUAUUGGGGCCCGGAGGUGACAGAAAAAUUACCCCAGGGAUAACAGGCUCGUCGCGGGCGAGAGCUCCUAUCGACCCCGCGGUUUGGUACCUCGAUGUCGGCUUUUCCUAUCCUGGUCCUGCAGCAGGGGCCAAGGGUGAGGCUGCUCGCCUAUUAAAAGGGAACAUGAGCUGGGUUUAGACCGUCGUGAGACAGGUCGGUCUCUGCCUAAUGGAAGCGUGAAUAACUGAGGGGAAGUUGCUCCUAGUACGAGAGGAACAGAGCAGCGUGGCCACUGGUUUACCGGUUGUCUGAUAAGGCAGGCCGGGCAGCUAAGCCGUUUGGGCUAAGUGCUGAAAGCAUCUAAGCACGAAUCCUAUCCCGAGACAAGUUAUUCUUUCGUAAGAUGAAGGUCGGCAGCAGAAGACUGCGUUGAUAGGAAGGUGGUGUAGAUCACAAGCUUCGGCGAGUGAUGAGCCAGCCUUUACUAAUAGACCAACAUAACGGU